rfam:Parcubacteria bacterium GW2011_GWD2_42_14 TT98_C0013, whole genome shotgun sequence.
GCCGUCUUAGCUCAGUUGGUAGAGCAUUGCACUCGUAACGCAAAGGUCCCGAGUUCGAUCCUCGGAGACGGCU